AAAAAAAGAAGAAAAAAG
rnacentral:sRNA from 1 species